rnacentral:lncRNA from 1 species
UUUCAUUCCUUUAUUACAUGCCAUUCUUUCUUAUUUAGAUAAGAUCUGAUCUUAUCUCUAAGGGGGUGUGAAGGUUUUGUGGUGGUGUGACAAAAAUUAAGAUGAGAAAAAUGGUGGCAUGCGCUAAAGUGUAAGGGUCUUCUUUCUUACCACAGAACUCCUCCCAACACCUCCCUUCUUUCUCCCUUCACAUCCAACAU